AUUGAACGCUGGCGGCAGGCCUAACACAUGCAAGUCGAGCGGAUGAAGGGAGCUUGCUCCUGGAUUCAGCGGCGGACGGGUGAGUAAUGCCUAGGAAUCUGCCUGCUAGUGGGGGAUAACGUCCGGAAACGGGCGCUAAUACCGCAUACGUCCUGAGGGAGAAAGUGGGGGAUCUUCGGACCUCACGCUAUCAGAUGAUCCUAGGUCGGAUUAGCCAGUUGGUGGGGUAAAGGCCUACCAAGGCGACGAUCCGUAACUGGUCUGAGAGGAUGAUCAGUCACACUGGAACUGAGACACGGUCCAGACUCCUACGGGAGGCAGCAGUGGGGAAUAUUGGACAAUGGGCGAAAGCCUGAUCCAGCCAUGCCGCGUGUGUGAAGAAGGUCUUCGGAUUGUAAAGCACUUUAAGUUGGGAGGAAGGGCAGUAAGUUAAUACCUUGCUGUUUUGACGUUACCAACAGAAUAAGCACCGGCUAACUUCGUG
rnacentral:rRNA from 1 species